rnacentral:rRNA from 3 species
CACUCGUUCCCAUCCCGAACACGACCGUUAAGCCCUCCAGCGCCGAUGGUACUUGGACCGCAGGGUCCUGGAAGAGUAGGACGUCGCCAGGC